CGGGGUAUAGCGCAGUUGGUAGCGUGCCACGUUCGGGACGUGGAGGUCGGGCGUUCGAAUCGCCCUACCCCGACAA
rnacentral:tRNA from 7 species